GCCAGCAUGGUGUAAUGGUUGGAGCAUUGGGCUAUGACUCUAGAGACCGGGGUUCGAAUCCCGGCUCAGCCA